rnacentral:lncRNA from 1 species
AAAGAGACAGGGUCUCACUCUGUUUCCCAGUCUGGAGUGCGGUGCUGUCAUUAUAGCUCACUGUAACCUUGAACUUCCAGGCUCAAUCGCUCCUCCCACCUCAGACUCCCAAGUAGCUGGGACUACAGGUGUGUGCCACCAUCCCCAGGUAAAUUAAUCACUAAUGUUUAUUACAAGCCUGGUUUGUGCCAGGUGAUUAACAUGCUUCUAAUACGGUUGCUAGUCCUUACCAUGGCUGUGCAUGGCAAAUACUGUUAUUCCCAUUUUACAGGAAGUGAAACAGAGAGGUUCAGUGUCUUGUCUGUGCUCACACCACCAGUCACAGAGGAGUUGGGCUUAGCUCUGGCAGUCUCUCAAGGGCGCCCUGUCUACUCCCCACUCUGUUUGCACAGCUAUUGGCUUUGCUCCAUCACCAGGGACAGAAGACCUGGAGCUAAGGUCAAAUUGCAUUCAACAUGAGCCUACUACCUUCACCUAAAUUUAGAACAAGACAGCUCCAACCAGCUCUGCCCCAGCAGAACAGAGGCAUGUGGAUUGAUAAUGGGCAAGAGAAAACCCAGCAGGUGCCACAGAACCACCCCGCCAUGGGAGCCAGGAGGGGGUGCCAUCCCUGUGCGGAGCAGAAGGCAUCCUGGGAAUAUCGCUUUGGGGUCUGAGAUGCUCAGCUCACUGCCAUGUCACCAGACUUCCAUCAGAGGGUCACCAAGUUCCUAGCCAUACGAAUAAAAUCUGCACGUCUAAGGUUGAAAACAACUUUGUCAUGGGGUUGU